CAGUCGCCGCGGUAAUACGUAGGUGGCAAGCGUUGUCCGGAAUUAUUGGGCGUAAAGGGCUCGCAGGCGGUUUCUUAAGUCUGAUGUGAAAGCCCCCGGCUCAACCGGGGAGGGUCAUUGGAAACUGGGAAACUUGAGUGCAGAAGAGGAGAGUGGAAUUCCACGUGUAGCGGUGAAAUGCGUAGAGAUGUGGGGGAAGACCAGUGGCGAAGGCGACUCUCUGGUCUGUAACUGACGCUGAGGAGCGGAAGCGUGGGGAGCGAACAGGAUUAGAUACCCCUGUAGUCCCUGUCUCUUAUAC
rnacentral:rRNA from 1 species